CACAUAUUUUUCAUAAGGUAGCACGUGUAGUGAAAAGGCCUGAGAGUCCUUAAGUCCUAAAUCCUGACACAAGGGAUGAAGGGGUCGCGGAGUUGCCAGAUUCUUGUAACCAAUGAACCUAUGGAACUCUGCUUUGAACUCCCGUCUACUAUUCAUUCAAGAGGCACCAACAGCCAUGAUGACAAAAGAUGACAGACUUCUACUGGGCGGCUCAGGAGACAGGAAGCACCUGCUUGUGCUGGGGAUGGGCCGGCAGAGAGGGGAAGGAGUGACAAGAGACGGGUAAUGUAUUCCAUAUUCCACAACAGUAAUUAAACAGGUCACAUUUGAAACAAAACAUCAAGAAAUAGAAAUAUGAGUAGGUUACAUAAAAAAAAAGUAAUACUAGA